CCAGACUCCUACGGGAGGCAGCAGUGGGGGAUAUUGCACAAUGGGGGAAACCCUGAUGCAGCGACGCCGCGUGGAGGAAGAAGGUUUUCGGAUUGUAAACUCCUGUCGUUAGGGACGAUAAUGACGGUACCUAACAAGAAAGCACCGGCUAACUACGUGC
rnacentral:rRNA from 1 species